GCUCAGUGGUUAGAGCACUGGCUUCUCUUCCAGAGGACUUGGGUUCAAUUCCCAG
rnacentral:tRNA from 1 species